rnacentral:rRNA from 1 species
UCUAGCGGCGGACGGGUGAGUAACGCGUGAGCAACCUGCCUUUAUCAGGGGGAUAACGCAUCGAAAGAUGUGCUAAUACCGCGUAAGACCACAGCCUCACAUGGGGCAGAGGUCAAAGGAGCAAUCCGGAUAAAGAUGGGCUCGCGUCCGAUUAGCUAGUUGGUGAGAUAACAGCCCACCAAGGCGACGAUCGGUAGCCGACCUGAGAGGGUGAUCGGCCACAUUGGAACUGAGAGACGGUCCAGACUCC